rnacentral:tRNA from 1 species
GCGGGAUUAGUUUAAUGGCAGAACGUGUGCUUCCCAAGCACAGGGCGGGAGUUCGAUUCUCCCAUCCCGCA